CCCUUAGAUGUUCUGGGCUGCACGCGCGCUACACUGACGCACGCAACAGGUGCCUGCUCCGAGAGGACUGGGUAAUCAUUUGAGUGUGCGUCGUGAUGGGGAUAGAAUAUUGUAAUUAUUACUCUUCAACGAGGAAUCCCUAGUAAGCGCAAGUCAGCAGCUUGCGCUGAUUACGUCCCUGCCCUUUGUACACACCGCCCGUCGCUCCUACCGAUGGGUGAUCCGGUGAAUGAUUCGGACUUCAGCGGCUCCUCUGGGGUGCGCCGGAGAAAGUUUUGUGAACCUUAUCACUUGGAGGAAGGAGAAGUCGUAACA
rnacentral:rRNA from 1 species